rnacentral:rRNA from 1 species
GAUCCUGGCUCAGAACGAACGCUGGCGGCAGGCUUAACACAUGCAAGUCGAGCGAGACCUUCGGGUCUAGCGGCGGACGGGUGAGUAACGCGUGGGAACGUGCCCUUCUCUACGGAAUAGCCCCGGGAAACCUGGGAGUAAUACCGUAUACGCCCUUUGGGGAAAGAUUUAUCGGAGAAGGAUCGGCCCGCGUUGGAUUAGGUAGUUGGUGGGGUAAUGGCCCACCAAGCCGACGAUCCAUAGCUGGUUUGAGAGGAUGAUCAG